rnacentral:rRNA from 1 species
GAUGAACGCUGGCGGCGUGCCUAAUACAUGCAAGUCGAGCGAACAGACGAGGAGCUUGCUCCUCUGACGUUAGCGGCGGACGGGUGAGUAACACGUGGAUAACCUACCUAUAAGACUGGGAUAACUUCGGGAAACCGGAGCUAAUACCGGAUAAUAUAUUGAACCGCAUGGUUCAAUAGUGAAAGACGGUUUUGCUGUCACUUAUAGAUGGAUCCGCGCCGCAUUAGCUAGUUGGUAAGGUAACGGCUUACCAAGGCGACGAUGCGUAGCCGACCUGAGAGGGUGAUCGGCCACACUGGAACUGAGACACGGUCCAGACUCCUACGGGAGGCAGCAGUAGGGAAUCUUCCGCAAUGGGCGAAAGCCUGACGGAGCAACGCCGCGUGAGUGAUGAAGGUCUUCGGAUCUUAAAACUCUGUUAUUAGGGAAGAACAAAUGUGUAAGUAACUAUGCACGUCUUGACGGUACCUAAUCAGAAAGCCACGGCUAACUACGUG